rnacentral:rRNA from 1 species
UACGUAGGUGGCAAGCGUUGUCCGGAUUUACUGGGCGUAAAGAGCGCGCAGGCGGUCGGAUUAGUCGCGUGUGAAAGCCCCCGGCUCAACUGGGGAGGGUCACGCGAUACUGUUCGACUCGAAGGCAGGAGAGGGAAGUGGAAUUCCCGGUGUAGUGGUGAAAUGCGUAGAUAUCGGGAGGAACACCAGUGGCGAAGGCGACUUCCUGGCCUGUUCUUGACGCUGAGGCGCGAAAGCUAGGGGAGCAAACAGG